AUGACAGCCGACGAUCUCAAGAAGCUCGAGGCCGAGUUGAAGGAACGCGAGUCUCUCCUGCAGACUCGCCAGGAAGAACUUGAUUGUCGCGCCGCCGAGAUGGGCAAAGCUCCCGCAACCUCCCCAGCAGCCUCCACGCCCAGCCCUUCCACCUAUGCCACCUCCAUCAAACUUCAUGUACCCAUCACCCUCGACCUGACCGCCUCCAACUACACAAACUGGCGCGAGCUGUUCCUCGUCGCCCUUGGCCGCUAUGGCCUUACAGCUCAUGUCAUCGGCGAUGCCUGCGCUACUCCCUCCGACACUUCGCCGGCUUCGGAUUGGGGCCGCGACGACUACACGGUUCCCUCUUGGAUCUAUGGCUCUAUCUCCAUCGACCUCUUCGGCAACGUCAUGCGCCCCAGAUCCACCGCGCGCACGAUCUGGGACGCCAUCGAGAAUCUCUUCCGCGACAAUAAAAAGCACCGGGCAAUCCAGCUGGAAGCGGAGUUCAGGAACACCCCGCAAGGCGACAUGACCGUCGGUGACUACUGCACAAAGCUCAAGUCCCUUGUUGAUUCUCUCGUGGAUGUUGGCCAGACGAUGAGCGACGAAACACUCGUCCUCACCCUCCUGCGUGGCCUCAACGACAGUUUCGCCCACCUCCGCUCGUUUCUUCCGUUCCAGGUGCCCUUCCCCUCGUUUCUUCAGACCCGCUCGGCGUUGAUCCUUGAAGAGAGCCAGAAGAAAACUGAUGCCAAGAACGCGGCAUCCACUGCCCUUUGGGCUAGCGGGAAUAGCAUCAUCCCGAGCGCUGGCGGUGAACGUGCUCCUCUCCCUAUCAGCUCCGGGGGCGUCGGCUCUGGAGGGCGCGGAACGGGCUCCACCUUCAACCGCGUCAGUAGCCGUGGACGUGGCGGACGCGGUGGACGUGGUCGCGGCCGCGACAAUCCGUAG
rnacentral:rRNA from 1 species